rnacentral:lncRNA from 1 species
GGCAGAUGUUGGCCAUCAGCCGGUGCUGUUGCAAGGCACGGAGGGGCGGCGCGACCCGGCGGUAGGAUGGGGGGGGGCGCGCUGCAGCGUGGGCUGGGCCGCAAGGGCAGAGGUGAGCUCUCAGGGCUGUUCUGCAAAAGGGUGAAAGUACGUUGAGGGGGUGUUAAACCUGGGGGUAGGAAAGGGCCAGGAAGGAUUACGGCGUCCCUGUUUGAUGUGUAGGGUUUUGUGAGACUCUGGAGAAGUCUAACGGGCUGCAGGUUUCAGUUUGGGACAGCGCUGCCACUGCAUGUGUCUGCUGCAGGUUUGUGGGCAUACAAAGACUUUCAGAAAUGCGGCUCUGCUGUCAACUAACUUUCUUACAGCUAUGAAAAAUACAUCCUCAUGUUGUAGACCAGAAAAGGAGGUAUGUGACUUCAGCAUUUAAAGGAAACUAAUUACAGUUAUCUAUAAACAAACUAAAUAAGCCUCACCAACUGUUUUGACUAUGUGAUAUGAGCAGAUAUUGGUUCAGUUGCUGGUAAAGUUACCGUACCAAUCAAAUUAGUUGGGUUUCUUCCAUAUCAGCACAGAGAUAGUGAACAAACUUGGGCAUUUAACAGAACCAUUCUGUGGGAUUAGCUUUAGUUAGUCUCUAGAGACACUUAAUUCACAUUAGUUACAGGUAUACUGACAGGGUAUCACGAAAAAGCUUCAGCGAUAUGUCAAAGUUCAGAUGUGAUUUACCAAGUGUAUUGGACAUCUUAUACUGAAAAAAAUCUUGGAGCAAACUUGAGUGAGAGUAAGUGAAGUUUCUAUCUGUUUCUCUAAUCUUGUGAAAUAAUUCAGUGCAAAUCCCAGGGUGGCAGAAAUUCUUGCAAAGGAAAGUAACAAAUGGUAUUAGUUAUAGAGGAACUGAAGAAUAGAAAUAACAGAAAUUAACUUCAGUACCACAAUAAUAAAGUUCUUUGCUCUUGCUGAACUUACAAACUUAGAAGAAAUGUUUGCUAUGUUGCUUGUGAUUAGAUAGCCCAGCUUUUGUUUUUUUCACUGUGUUGAAUGAUAGAAUUCAGGGAUAGGGUCCAGUGCACUCGUGUGUAAACUGUUUGUGUAGGAGUAUCAAAUGAUGUGGUAUUGCCCUUUAUAUCUGAUAACUCUGAUUUUAAAACCAACCAAGGAGUAAGUCUGUACUUCGGUAUGUAUAUAGGUAUGUAUUUAUCUCUUGUUAC